AUAAUACUCCAUAGAUUAGAGACACUGGAAUGUUCUUUAGUCGAAAGUUCUGGCGCCUUAGGAUGGAUCUGCGGUCGAUUAGGUUGUUGUUGGGGUAACGGCCCAACAAGCCUGUAAUCGAUACGGGUCGUGGGAGCAAGAGCCCGGAGAUGGAAUCUGAGACACGAUUCCAGGCCCUACGGGGCGCAGCAGGCGCGAAAACUUUACAAUGCAGGAAACUGUGAUAAGGGAACUCCGAGUGCCCGUAUACGCGGGCUGUCCAGGUGUUUAAAAAUCAUCUGAAGAAAGGGCCGGGCAAGACCGGUGCCAGCCGCCGCGGUAAUACCGGCGGCUCGAGUGGUGGCCACUAUUAUUGGGCUUAAAGCGUCCGUAGCUGGACCGAUAAGUCUCUUGGGAAAUCCGCCGGCUCAACCGGCGGGCGUCUAAGGGAUACUGUUAGUCUAGGGACCGGGAGAGGUGAGAGGUACUCCGGGGGUAGGAGUGAAAUCCUGUAAUCCCCGGGGGACCACCGAUGGCGAAGGCAUCUCACCAGAACGGCUCCGACAGUGAGGGACGAAAGCUGGGGGAGCGAACCGGAUUAGAUACCCGGGUAGUCCCAGCCGUAAACUAUGCGCGUUAGGUGU
rnacentral:rRNA from 1 species